UACGGAGGGUCCGAGCGUUAUCCGGAAUUAUUGGGUUUAAAGGGUCCGUAGGCGGAUCAUUAAGUCAGAGGUGAAAGUUUGCCGCUUAACGGUAAAAUUGCCUUUGAUACUGGUGGUCUUGAGUUAUAGUGAAGUUGCCGGAAUAUGUAGUGUAGCGGUGAAAUGCAUAGAUAUUACAUAGAACACCGAUUGCGAAGGCAGGUGACUAACUAUAUACUGACGCUGAUGGACGAAAGCGUGGGGAGCGAACAGG
rnacentral:rRNA from 1 species